CAGCAGUCGCCGCGGUAAUACGUAGGGCGCAAGCGUUAUCCGGAAUUAUUGGGCGUAAAGAGCUCGUAGGCGGUUUGUCGCGUCUGCCGUAAAAGUCCGGGGCUCAACCCCGGAUCUGCGGUGGGUACGGGCAGACUAGAGUGAUGUAGGGGAGACUGGAAUUCCUGGUGUAGCGGUGAAAUGCGCAGAUAUCAGGAGGAACACCGAUGGCGAAGGCAGGUCUCUGGGCAUUAACUGACGCUGAGGAGCGAAAGCAUGGGGAGCGAACAGGAUUAGAUACCCGAGUAGUCCCUGUCUCUUAUAU
rnacentral:rRNA from 1 species